CAACUUUUAGAGAAUGUUGAGACAAAGAUUGGUAUAAAUUUCAUUCUAUGUCUUGCAUUUUACGAUAUUUUCACUUGUAUUAUGGUAUAUUCACUGUUUCGAUAGUAUUAGGUUGUCCGGAAAGUUUCUUUCCUUUCAGAAGGUGAUUAUAGAUAAACAACAAUUUCUGUUUUACAUUAUUUUAUUUUAUUUUAUUGAAUUAUUUCUAUUAUUAUGUUCGUGCAUAAUUCAAUAAAUUAAUAUGAAACAAAAAACAUCGUGCGUCUAUUAUUUCCUUAUAAAACGAAAGAAACAUUUUGAAUAACCUAAUGUCAC
rnacentral:misc_RNA from 1 species